CGAUAAGUGGAGCGACUAGCUUUUGUCGAUCAGAUGUCUGAUCGUCCGACUAAUCGUCGCCUAAUCGAGAUUAAUCGUCCGACUUGCUGCUUGGUCGGUCAGGUUGCCGGCCAAAAGAUGUCCAGCCCGCCGCCUGUACUGGGCUCAAUUAGGCCCAUUAGGGUUAACUAUAUAGAAGCCACUUCUGUGCACCACGCAGGCACAAACCUUCACUCGACUGCUCGAGUCGAGCCGCCUGCGUCACGCCGCCGCCGUCGCCUGCGUCGUGCCGCCGCCGCCACUCGCAUCACGCCACCGCCCGACCGCCUGUGUCACGCCGCCCGGGUCACGCGGCCGCCAGCUCGCAUCACGCCGUCGCCUGACCGCCUGCGUCACGUCGCCUGGCUGCCGCUCGCCGAUGUGGCGGCAUCUGAAGAUGAGCUCCUCCUCCGAUGAUUUCGAUGCACAGCGGCAAAGGCAGUUUCAGCAGCAGAACAGCAAGGAUAUGGAGUGUGGGACAAGAAUAUGGAGUUCUGGACAGUUCAAACAUCAAAUCUCACAAGAUAUCACGUGUAGUGUAAAAGCAAAGUUAUGGUAGCAGAGAAGGGACAAGAAAUGUGAUGUCAGCAAUGACGAAACAAAGAUUCCUCCCAAUAGGAACAUUGCAAGUUGUGACUAUCAUCUGGAUAAAUGCCCCGAAAAAUCUCGUGAUUCUUAUCAACUGCGCUCAGUGUUAACAAUGGAAAUUAACAUAGCAACCUGCUACUACACUGAGCUGUAUAGUAAUGUGGUUUGCAGCUAACCCUUAUGCUACACAAGAUUCAUGGUUAUUCAUAUCUAAUAUCUUCUUAGCUGUCACUGUUGGUUAAGUAAUCAGUGUAUCUGCAACCAGUAUUUCUACCCUUGAGAACUGCACCCUUUGUUAAUUAUUUGGAGCAAGAAAGAACAAGAAAUCAUGUAGAUGAGGUAAAGUUCCCUAUCUAUGAUCGUGCAGCAUAGUAGCAUCACAUUUCUGUCAACCAUGCAGGCAUGCAUACAGCUUCUUUGUUUUACAACAUCUGUUUUUGGAAUACAUGCAUCGUACAUGUUUUAUUUUAUAAAAUGUGAAUUUUCUUUUGUUAAAAGCUUAGAACCCAUUUCAGGCAUUCUACUUAGCCUGCAGAAUUAGGGAACAAUUUGAAACUUCUUGUUUUGGUGCAUAUUUGAUGGAGGCCAUUACAUAUUACGGUUCUCUGGCACUUGACCGCAAGUAGGCAUUUGGGUGGGCCAAGGAUAACAGCAUCUGCAUAUAUUAUAUGAUGUAUCUGAUAAGUGUUAAUCUUGUGGGCUAAGCUACAGGCUGCAACUAUCAAAAUUGUUGAAACAUCUCCAAAUUUGUGGGGAAGGGCUAUACCAACCAGACGAGCUAACUGAACUACAAUUAUGUGAAACAGGAAAAACAACAAGCUACUGUCUGUACGGUGAUUCAUAUUAUUUGUCCACUGUUCAAAUUGUCAUUUUGGUGUCUCAAGAAUUGAAAUAAUUUUGUUUGCAAAUAAAUUUCCACCAGCUGGUGGACAGGACAUUUUAUAAACCAUAAUACUGAUAGCCUGCAGUCAUAUGGUCAAUGCUUUGAGGUGAGUUUGGAGAUGUCAGUUUCUUUUCUACUUGUUGCAGAGGAUAAUCAUCUAUUCCUUCUGAACAAGAAUGAAGGGCAUGUGCUUUCAGUGGGUUGCCAUAGGAUGGGGAAACUGAAAUUGAAGUUCUUAUUCUCCUCAAUGAUUUUAGAGCACUGAAAAGAGCCUGCAAUUGAAGGCUUCUGUCAGAAAUACAAGGGCGUGGGGAGGUCUCCACCCUACACUCCUACAGAAGCUUUCCUUUUUGUUACUUGUGCAAAUAUAAGAAACUAACACUAAAUAAUUUGUUGUCAGGUUUGCUGAUCUGAGGGUGAAUAUGUGAUGUUGCCCCUGUUGUUAAAUGUAAAAAAUAAAAUAAGUAUUAGAUUUGUAUUGUUGGUAGUUCAAUUGAGGCAUUCAUUGCCUCUGUGGUCAGCUAAACCCGUGACUGUGCUAAUGUAACUUAGAGGUUGGUAUUAAAAUUUUCAAUUGUAUGUGUGUGCUUCCAUGUACAAGCUUAUACUAUCCCAUCAAAGACAUCACUUGUACAAGCUAGAUUAGGGACUGAAUUCGAGGUGCAAGUUGCAUUCUUAUGUUAAUCAUGAAUUCCUGAUUGUAUAUUAAAAAAAUCAGUUCAUUGUGUUGUUA